rnacentral:rRNA from 1 species
CCCUUAGAUGUUCUGGGCUGCACGCGCGCUACACUGAUGCGUUCAACGAGUUUAUAACCUUGCCCGAUAGGGUUGGGUAAUCUUUUGAAAACGCAUCGUGAUGGGGAUAGAUUAUUGUAAUUAUUAAUCUUCAACGAGGAAUUCCUAGUAAGCGCGAAUCAUCAGUUCGUGCUGAUUACGUCCCUGCCCUUUGUACACACCGCCCGUCGCUACUACCGAUUGAACGGUUUAGUGAGGGCCUCGGAUUGGUCUCGGCCCGCUCUUUACCGGGCGGCGCCGUUGGUCGAGAAGACGCUCGAACUUGAUCGUUUAGAGGAAGUAAAAGUCGUAACA